ACAUGCAAGUCGAGCGGAAACGAUCCUAGCUUGCUAGGAGGCGUCGAGCGGCGGACGGGUGAGUAACACGUGAGAAUCUGCCCAUUAGAGGGGGAUAGCCUGGGGAAACCCAGGCUAAUACCGCAUAAUCCCUACGGGGGAAAGCAGGGGAUCUUCGGACCUUGUGCUGAUGGAUGAGCUCGCGUCGGAUUAGCUUGUUGGUGAGGUAGUGGCUCACCAAGGCGACGAUCCGUAGCUGGUCUUAGAGGAUGAUCAGCCACAUCGGGACUGAGACACGGCCCGAACUCCUACGGGAGGCAGCAGUGGGGAAUAUUGGACAAUGGGGGCAACCCUGAUCCAGCCAUGCCGCGUGUGUGAAGAAGGCUUUCGGGUUGUAAAGCACUUUCAGCGAGGAGGAAGGCCUUAAAGUUAAUACCUUUAAGGAUUGACGUUACUCGCAGAAGAAGCACCGGCUAACUCCGUGCCAGCAGCCGCGAUAAUACGGAGGGUGCAAGCGUUAAUCGGAAUUACUGGGCGUAAAGCGCGCGUAGGUGGUUUGGUAAGCGAGAUGUGAAAGCCCCGGGCUUAACCUGGGAACGGCAUUUCGAACUGUCAGACUAGAGUGUGGUAGAGGGUAGUGGAAUUUCCUGUGUAGCGGUGAAAUGCGUAGAUAUAGGAAGGAACACCAGUGGCGAAGGCGGCUACCUGGACCAACACUGACACUGAGGUGCGAAAGCGUGGGGAGCAAACAGGAUUAGAUACCCUGGUAGUCCACGCCGUAAACGAUGUCAACUAGCCGUUGGGACUCUUGAAGUCUUAGUGGCGCAGCUAACGCACUAAGUUGACCGCCUGGGGAGUACGGCCGCAAGGUUAAAACUCAAAUGAAUUGACGGGGGCCCGCACAAGCGGUGAGCAUGUGGUUUAAUUCGACGCAACGCGAAGAACCUUACCUGCCUUGACAUCCAGAGAGCUUUCCAGAGAUGGAUUGUGCCUUCGGGAACUCUGAAACAGGUGCUGCAUGACCGUCGUCAGCUCGUGUCGUGAGAUGUUGGAUAGUCCCGUACGAGCGCAUCCUGUCCCUAGUGCAGCACGUAAUGGUGGACUCUAGAGACUGCUGUGACAACCGAGAGUGGGACGACGUCAGUCAUCAUGCCUACGCUGGCUACCACGUGCUACAUGGGCAGUACAAGCAUCUAAGUCCGGAGCUAGCAUCCUGAACCUGUUCGUACUCCGGCAUGUGAAUCGUGCU
rnacentral:rRNA from 1 species